AUUGAACGCUGGCGGCAGGCCUAACACAUGCAAGUCGAGCGGAUGAAGGGAGCUUGCUCCUGGAUUCAGCGGCGGACGGGUGAGUAAUGCCUAGGAAUCUGCCUGGUAGUGGGGGAUAACGUCCGGAAACGGGCGCUAAUACCGCAUACGUCCUGAGGGAGAAAGUGGGGGAUCUUCGGACCUCACGCUAUCAGAUGAGCCUAGGUCGGAUUAGCUAGUUGGUGGGGUAAAGGCCUACCAAGGCGACGAUCCGUAACUGGUCUGAGAGGAUGAUCAGUCACACUGGAACUGGGCCACGGACCAUACUACUGCGGGACGGAGCAGUGUGGAAUGGUGGACAACGGUCGAAAGCCUUGUACAGCCAUGCCGCGUGUGUUGAGAAGGCCCUCCGAGUGUAAAGACCUUUUAGGUGGGGGGAAGGGCAGUAAGUUAAUACCUUGCUGGUUUGACGGUACCGACAGAAUAAGCACCGGCUAACUUCGUG
rnacentral:rRNA from 1 species